UACGUAGGGUCCGAGCGUUGUCCGGAAUUACUGGGCGUAAAGAGCUCGUAGGCGGUCUGUCACGUCGGCUGUGAAAACCCGGGGCUCAACCCCGGGUCUGCAGUCGAUACGGGCAGACUAGAGUGCGGUAGGGGAGACUGGAAUUCCUGGUGUAGCGGUGAAAUGCGCAGAUAUCAGGAGGAACACCGGUGGCGAAGGCGGGUCUCUGGGCCGAUACUGACGCUGAGGAGCGAAAGCAUGGGUAGCGAACAGG
rnacentral:rRNA from 1 species